UACGAGGGGUGCAAGCGUUGCUCGGAAUUAUUGGGCGUAAAGGGUAGGUAGGUGGUCUCAUUUGUCUGGGGUGAAAGCCCGGAGCUUAACUCCGGAAGUGCCCCAGAAACGGUGAGACUCGAGUCCUGGAGAGGGUCGUGGAAUUCCCGGUGUAGCGGUGAAAUGCGUAGAGAUCGGGAGGAACACCAGAGGCGAAGGCGGCGACCUGGACAGGUACUGACGCUGAGACGCGAAAGCGUGGGGAGCAAACAGG
rnacentral:rRNA from 1 species